rnacentral:rRNA from 1 species
ACGCUGAAGUCGAAAGCUAGGGGAGUUAAAUACGCUUAGUAGUCCCCGUAGUAAUAGCUGUACACUAUGUGUGGUGGGUGUGAGGGGGUAUAGAUCCGGUCCGUGCGCAAUAAAACGCGUUCAGCAUGAGUCCGGGGGGAUUACGUCCGCAAGGCUUGAAUUCAAACGAAUUGCCGGGGGCCCGCACAAGCGGCGGAGCUUGUGGUUUAAUUGCAGAACACACGAAGAACCUUACAUGGCCGUGACAGAGAGGUAGUAGUGAAGCGAAAGUGGAACGACCUUUCAGGGAGCGUACACAGGUGGUGCAUUGCUGUCGUCAGUUGGUGCCUUGAGUCGUGCGAUUAACUCCCGUAACGAACGCAACCCUCGCCAUUAGUUACAUGUGUCUAAGGGGAGUGCCCGGGACAAAAGGGAGGAAAGUGGGGAGGAGGUCACGUCUCCUCAUCCUCUAUGUCCCCAGGUACACACACGCUACACAAUGGGGUACAAAACGUGAGCAAGCUGUGAGGGGGAGACAAUCUCCCAAAACCGGUUUAAAUUUGGAAUGUGGGUCGCAAAUUGGCCAUCAGAAGGGGGAAAUGGUUGGUACUGGGGGUUCACCAUACCGCGGUGAAUACGUUCCCGGGCCUUGUACACACCGCCCGUCACGUCAUGGAAGUUGGCAGCACCUGAAGCCAGUGGGCUAACCCGCAAGGGGGGCACGCGCCGAAGGUGGGACCAGCGCCUGGACGAAGUCGUAACAAGGUAACCAAGGGCGAA